rnacentral:rRNA from 1 species
CGAUGGAUAGGGGUUCUGAGAGGAAGGUCCCCCACAUUGGAACUGAGACACGGUCCAAACUCCUACGGGAGGCAGCAGUGAGGAAUAUUGGUCAAUGGGCGAGAGCCUGAACCAGCCAAGUAGCGUGAAGGAUGAAGGUCCUACGGAUUGUAAACUUCUUUUAUACGGGAAUAAAGUAUCCUACGUGUAGGAUUUUGUAUGUACCGUAUGAAUAAGCAUCGGCUAACUCCGUGCCAGCAGCCGCGGUAAUACGGAGGAUGCGAGCGUUAUCCGGAUUUAUUGGGUUUAAAGGGAGCGCAGACGGGAGAUUAAGUCAGUUGUGAAAGUUUGCGGCUCAACCGUAAAAUUGCAGUUGAUACUGGUUUCCUUGAGUGCAGUUGAGGCAGGCGGAAUUCGUGGUGUAGCGGUGAAAUGCUUAGAUAUCACGAAGAACCCCGAUUGCGAAGGCAGCUUGCUAAACUGUAACUGACGUUCAUGCUCGAAAGUGUGGGUAUCAAACAGGAUUAGAUACCCUGGUAGUCCACACGGUAAACGAUGGAUACUCGCUGUUGGCGAUAUACUGUCAGCGGCCAAGCGAAAGCAUUAAGUAUCCCACCUGGGGAGUACGCCGGCAACGGUGAAACUCAAAGGAAUUGACGGGGGCCCGCACAAGCGGAGGAACAUGUGGUUUAAUUCGAUGAUACGCGAGGAACCUUACCCGGGCUUAAAUUGCAGACGAAUUACGAGGAAACUUGUAAGCCGCAAGGCGUCUGUGAAGGUGCUGCAUGGUUGUCGUCAGCUCGUGCCGUGAGGUGUCGGCUUAAGUGCCAUAACGAGCGCAACCCUCGUGGUCAGUUACUAACAGGUUAAGCUGAGGACUCUGGCCAGACUGCCAUCGUAAGAUGUGAGGAAGGUGGGGAUGACGUCAAAUCAGCACGGCCCUUACGUCCGGGGCUACACACGUGUUACAAUGGGAGGUACAGAAGGCUGCUACCCGGCGACGGGAUGCCAAUCCCCAAAACCUCUCUCAGUUCGGACUGGAGUCUGCAACCCGACUCCACGAAGCUGGAUUCGCUAGUAAUCGCGCAUCAGCCACGGCGCGGUGAAUACGUUCCCGGGCCUUGUACACACCGCCCGUCAAGCCAUG